GAUGAACGCUGGCGGCGUGCCUAAUACAUGCAAGUCGAGCGAACUGAUUAGAAGCUUGCUUCUAUGACGUUAGCGGCGGACGGGUGAGUAACACGUGGGCAACCUGCCUGUAAGACUGGGAUAACACAGGAAAACCUGUGCAAAUACCGAAUAUUGAAACAUGAGUGGCAUCACUGAGUCUUGAAAGAAUUUCGGUGGAGGAUGACUUCGCGGCCUAUCAGCUAGUUGGUGAGGUAAUGGCUCACCAAGGCAACGACGGGUAGCCGGCCUGAGAGGGCGACCGGCCACACUGGGACUGAGACACGGCCCAGACUCCUACGGGAGGCAGCAGUGGGGAAUAUUGGGCAAUGGAGGAAACUCUGACCCAGCGACGCCGCGUGCGGGAUGAAGGCCUUCGGGUUGUAAACCGCUUUCAGUAGGGAAGAAGCGAAAGUGACGGUACCUACAAAAGAAGCACCGGCUAACUAUGUGCCAGCCGCCGCUGUAAGAC
rnacentral:rRNA from 1 species